CUCUCUCUCUCUCCCCCCUAUAUAUAUAUAUAUAUAUAUAGACAAACAAGUAAGAACAGGCCGGCUAGAAGACUUGCAGUUUACUGAAAAUUUCUGCUGCAAAUAUCAAUUGAUAUUUGGACAAUAUUUCAGUGAAAAUUGAGUAGAAUUUCAUUUAUAUCGUUUACAUAUUUGAACUGUAUAAACCUAGAACAAAGAAAUAAUGCAAGAAAGAAAAUAGAAAAUAUAUAAAAUAUCUUAUGGCUUCCCUAUAUGUGUAUUUUGUCAUUUCAUAUGUGAAAGAGAUGUUUUUGUAUCUCCAUUAAUGCCCUGGUCCUCUAGGGCUAGGUCCAGAUGGUAACUUUUCAAGCCAAUAUGACAUGGUGUAUUUCGCUUUCUCGUACAUUGCCGGAAAUGUAGCAAGGUGAUUCGAACCGGAUAAAUCUUCCGAUAAAAUUCUUGCAGCCUCCACUCGGACCUCGCUCGCAAUGACAAAAAUGAUAAAGAAAAUGAUCGAAAAAAUGCAUGCCCUCCUAAAAUCCAUCGAGACUCACAAAAAUAUGACUCUUGUUGAACAAAGAAAGAAUGAAGAAUUUGUAUAUUCUUAGCUCCCUUUGUUGGGUGGAUAUGCGAAUCUAACAUGGCAAGACAGUAUUUAUAGGAAAUUUGUUGGACUAAAU
rnacentral:lncRNA from 1 species